rnacentral:rRNA from 1 species
GAUCCUGGCUCAGGACGAACGCUGGCGGCGUGCCUAACACAUGCAAGUCGAGCGGAGACAUGUUGCGGAAGUUUUCGGAUGGAAGCGAUAUGUUUUUAGCGGCGGACGGGUGAGUAACGCGUGAGCAACCUUUCCUUCACAGGGGAAUAACGUACCGAAAGGUACACUAAUACCGCAUAAGGCCACAGCACCGCAUGGUGCAGGGGUGAAAGGAGCAAUCCGGUGAAGGGUGGGCUCGCGUCCGAUUAG